GGUUAGUGUCACAUCAUCUGCUGCUGUCCAGAGCCCAGAACGCUUCCUCCAGCUUGGCGCCAAGGUCCCAAAAGGCGCACUGCUGCUUGGCCCCCCCGGCUGUGGGAAGACACUGCUAGCCAAGGCGGUGGCCACGGAGGCUCAGGUGCCCUUCCUGGCAAUGGCCGGCCCAGAGUUCGUGGAGGUCAUUGGAGGCCUCGGCGCUGCCCGUGUGCGGAGCCUCUUCAAGGAAGCCCGAGCCCGGGCCCCCUGCAUCGUCUACAUCGAUGAGAUCGACGCAGUGGGCAAGAAGCGCUCCACCACCAUGUCCGGCUUCUCCAACACGGAGGAGGAGCAGACGCUCAACCAGCUUCUGGUAGAAAUGGAUGGAAUGGGCACCACAGACCAUGUCAUCGUCCUGGCGUCCACGAA
rnacentral:sRNA from 1 species